GCUCCGGGACCCAGACACAUGAACACCAACAUUCAACACCCCGUCCUGGAAACGGAUGGGAAAGGGCAAAUUAGUGGGGGAGGGAGGCCCCGCUGUCCCCAGGGUCCCUCACACAGGGUGGGGUGAGAGGUGGACAGCUGGCACCCCGAGUUGGCUCUGCUCGCCUUCUGUCCCCCUCUAAUCAGCCGGUCCAUCUUGAGGAGGGAUGGCCUGGCCUAGGGCGGGUGGACGCCGAGAGGGAUGCGCAGAACAAGAACGUGGGUCCUGAUAGGCCGCCUGGCCACAGAGGAGAUGGGUGGAGGCAGACAGGUAUGCAGAGAACAGAAAAGGGCUUACACAUACUCAAAACCUGAUGUCAUCAUGAAUAAGUACAUGAUGAAUGGAUGAAUGAAUGAGUUAAUGAUGGUCCGAGACCCAUUCUGGGGUCACCUCUUCUCUCCUUGCACUCAGUGUUUCUCAGACUUCGUAAGGGGAAUGUGCAGGCCAAAAGCGACUGGACCGUUCUGGAGACCCAGGAACUGGACACAAUAGAGAUAAUGCACUCUCCAGAGCUCCACCUGAAGAGUGGGGUCACCGUCUCAGAUGCCAGCAGAGGCUGUGGUAGUGCCACCAGGAACUGACUGAAAUGGCCAUCAGCCACGGAGGACCACGAAGAGUUCAAAUUUUCUGGGGCGUUCAGAAACGGGGCUGGAUUGGGGGGUGGCGGGGGUUGGGGAGACCAGAUGUGGGUCAGGAAAUGGGAAGAGAUUUAGUGCUCUGUGCAUGGACGGAGGACUGCGGGCCUUUUGUGAGGUGAGAGCCGUGGGUGGAUUGGGAGCUGGGAGGAACUGACUGACUUACAGAUUCACAGACAGAUCCACAGACACCUGCUGUUGCAAUGGGGCUGGGGACAGAUAUGAGCUGGGUGAAGAGGCUACUGCAACAGCCCAAGCUAACAAAGAUGAGGACAGAGGUGAUGAAAGACUUAGACUGUGGGAAUAUUUGGAAGCACAGCCAGCCGUGGGAUUAGAUGUGGGAGUGCGGGUAAGACUGUUGUAACAGGGUCCCAGACCUUAACACAACAGAUUCCAUGAUGGAAACAACAUUCAGGCUGUAAAAUUCAGCAUGUAGACAGCACCACCUGCCAAAAUUAAAACAAAGACCUAAUCCACCGAAGUCCAUAGUUCUGGGAAAGGCUCUAAAUGGACUAACCUUGCCUUUUCGCUUCUGCAGUUCCCAGAGUAGUCACUGGUCAGUUAAUAAAGACUUUCUAUUGGCUUAAAGCCAUGUCUGGCAGUCUUCUCUAGUGAAUGCCCCACAA